GAUGAACGCUAGCGGCAGGCUUAACACAUGCAAGUCGAGGGGUAGAAGGAGCUUGCUCCUUUGAGACCGGCGCACGGGUGCGUAACGCGUAUGCAAUCUACCUUAUACAGGGGGAUAGCCCAGAGAAAUUUGGAUUAAUACCCCAUAGUAUUACGAAAUCGCAUGGUUUUGUAAUUAAAGUUCCAACGGUAUAAGAUGAGCAUGCGUCCCAUUAGCUAGUUGGUGUGGUAACGGCACACCAAGGCAACGAUGGGUAGGGGUCCUGAGAGGGAGAUCCCCCACACUGGUACUGAGACACGGACCAGACUCCUACGGGAGGCAGCAGUGAGGAAUAUUGGUCAAUGGGCGCAAGCCUGAACCAGCCAUGCCGCGUGCAGGAUGACGGUCCUAUGGAUUGUAAACUGCUUUUGUACAGGAAGAAACACUCCCUCGUGAGGGAGCUUGACGGUACUGUAAGAAUAAGGAUCGGCUAACUCCGUGCCAGCAGCCGCCGUAACAC
rnacentral:rRNA from 1 species